rnacentral:rRNA from 1 species
UACGUAGGGUCCGAGCGUUGUCCGGAAUUAUUGGGCGUAAAGGGCUCGUAGGCGGUUCGUCACGUCGGGAGUGAAAACUCGGAGCUUAACUCCGAGCCUGCUUCCGAUACGGGCAGACUAGAGGUAUGCAGGGGAGAACGGAAUUCCUGGUGUAGCGGUGAAAUGCGCGGAUAUCAGGAGGAACACCGGUGGCGAAGGCGGUUCUCUGGGCAUGACCUGACGCUGAGGAGCGAAAGUGUGGGGAGCGAACAGG